GAUGAACGUUGGCGGCGUGCCUAAUACAUGCAAGUCGAGCGAACGGACGAGAAGCUUGCUUCUCUGAUGUUAGCGGCGGACGGGUGAGUAACACGUGGAUAACCUACCUAUAAGACUGGGAUAACUUCGGGAAACCGGAGCUAAUACCGGAUGAUAUUUUGAACCGCAUGGUUCAAAAGUGAAAGACGGUCUUGCUGUCACUUAUAGAUGGAUCCGCGCUGCAUUAGCUAGUUGGUAAGGUAAUGGCUUACCAAGGCAACGAUGCCUAGCCGACCUGAGAGGGUGAUCGGCCACACUGGAACUGAGACACGGUCCAGACUCCUACGGGAGGCAGCAGUAGGGAAUCUUCCGCAAUGGGCGAAAGCCUGACGGAGCAACGCCGCGUGAGUGAUGAAGGUCUUCGGAUCGUAAAACUCUGUUAUUAGGGAAGAACAUAUGUGUAAGUAACUGUGCACAUCUUGACGGUACCUAAUCAGAAAGCCACGGCUAACUACGUG
rnacentral:rRNA from 1 species